UGGCCCGUUGGUCAAGUGGUUAAGACACCGCCCUUUCACGGCGGUAACACGGGUUCGAAUCCCGUACGGGUCAU
rnacentral:tRNA from 37 species